GACGAACGCUGGCGGCGUGCUUAACACAUGCAAGUCGAACGGAAAGGCCCUGCUUUUGUGGGGUGCUCGAGUGGCGAACGGGUGAGUAACACGUGAGUAACCUGCCCUUGACUUUGGGAUAACUUCAGGAAACUGGGGCUAAUACCGGAUAGGAGCUCCUGCUGCAUGGUGGGGGUUGGAAAGUUUCGGCGGUUGGGGAUGGACUCGCGGCUUAUCAGCUUGUUGGUGGGGUAGUGGCUUACCAAGGCUUUGACGGGUAGCCGGCCUGAGAGGGUGACCGGCCACAUUGGGACGGAGAUACGGCCCAGACUCCUACGGGAGGCAGCAGUGGGGAAUAGUGCACAAUGGGCGGAAGCCUGAUGCAGCAACGCCGCGUGCGGGAUAACGGCCUUCGGGUUGGAAACCGCUUUCGCCUGUGACGAAGCGUGAGUGACGGUAAUGGGUAAAGAAGCACCGGCUAACUACGUG
rnacentral:rRNA from 1 species